AUGGCCGCGCCUAGCGUACUUGUGGGAGAUACACUCUACUUCAACAUCCAUGGUGACAUCGAGUGCCAACUGGGCACACUAUGCUUGUCAAUGUUCGAGAAGCCCAUCGUUGGCAAUGGCACUCUCGUGACCGUGGAAGACGGGGGGCUGGGAUUUGCUGCACUGGUGGAUGUCACAAAUCUAACCCUGUGGUCAAGGGAGGCCGGAUUGGAGGGUGCCAUGGGAUGGACAAAGCUCAGGGUAAUUGAUCUUAAGAAGCUAGUUCCUGAUGGUGCCCUCUCAAUCCCAACACGUUUUGAAUUUGAUGCCCUCGCGAUCCCAACAAAAUAUAGGAGGUUGCCGCCCGGUGGACUGGAGAUUAGUGGCUUCGCGGAGGGCACCCAAGUCAUUUUUGUGUGCACAAGUGUUGAUUCCUACAUGGUGGACCUCAGGUCAGGGCGAGCGAGGAAGGUAACCCGUCAUGGCACAGAAUCAUUUCCCUACACGAGCUUCUACAUCCCAGCAAUGGGUGCGGCUUCUCCGGGCCAGGGGCGAUGA
rnacentral:rRNA from 1 species